rnacentral:rRNA from 1 species
GGUCUCCUACGGGGGGCAGCAGUGAGGAAUAUUGGUCAACGGUCGGGAGACUGAACCAGCCAAGCCGCGUGAGGGAUGAAGGUACAGAGUAUCGUAAACCUCUUCUGUCAGGGAACAAAGGCGGGGACGUGUCCCCGGAUGAGUGUACCUGAAGAAAAAGCAUCGGCUAACUCCGUGCCAGCAGCCGCGGUAAUACGUAGGUGGCAAGCGUUGUCCGGAUUUAUUGGGCGUAAAGCGAGUGCAGGCGGGUCAAUAAGGCUGAUGUGAAAGCCAU